CUAAUUUGAUUGUGCUCAGGUCUAGAAUUGUUUCCAUUUCUUUUGAUUUGCUAAUUAGCUGGAGCAGCCAGCUUGGGAGAGAGAGAAUGAGGGUCAAAUCCAGAAAAAAAUGUAGGAUCAAGACUCCUUCUGACUCACCGCCCCCAUCUCCUGCCUCUCCCCUCCCCCAGCCUGUCCAGCUCCCAACUUUACCUACAUCCUUAAAAACAAUCCACCCAUCUAUGAUGAGUAGAUUAUGUUAUGCUUUUUUGAAAACAGGAUGCUUAUCCCCUUUAUGACACUAGAUUUAUUCUCUGCAUGUGUGGUUGCAGGGUUGAGUUAUAACUUUGACCUCUGUGGGACCUCGGCUUCAAAAUUAAUUAAUGAACUAAAAAUUAAAUUUCAUGACUGCAUCGACAUAAAAACCAAUAUAUUAUUCUCAUUUAUUUCCAUAUGUAUUGAGGCUUGAAAGGUCUAAAAGAAGUUAAAACAUUUUUGAGAGGCCCUGAAAGUACCUUGGGGUCCUGUGACUGGCUCUGUGCAGAUGGCGAUAUUGUAUAGAAUGAAUGCCUAAUUGAUUCAGAUAAAGUAGGUAUGAUAAAUGCAAUUUUCUGCAGUCCAUUUGUUGUGUUGAAUAAACAGUCCUAGAUAACAUAUUGCUUUUAUUUCUGAUCCCGUGUCAAACCUUGCCCCAGAUCACACACAUCUGUGCUGCAAAAAUUGCAAUAUUGCAAGCCUGAAAUGGCCCCCUCUUUCAAAUUAUCAGGCCCUGGUGCGUGCUGGAAUGCCUUCAGGGCAGUGGGAAAUUGUGACACUCCCUUUGAUUUUAGGUUUGCUGGGACCAAAGCUGACCGAUGCUUUGAUGAGCAGGUCUUGCUGAUUUUCUCUUUUUGGCCUUAUUCAAGGACGCUGUUAAGUUCAACUCUCAGGAAAAAAAAAAUUAAAAAAUUAAGAUCUUGGCCUUUCUCUCCAGCCUCACCAAUUGAAUUGAAACAUCGACUGGGUGCUGGCUAUGUCCUUCCCAUAGAGCAGCCCUGUGCUUUAUGCAACUAGGAAGAGGUCUCCAGUGUAUUUUGUAUUUUAUCUCCGAAUGAAGAAGCAGAGAUCUGAGUUCCUCUUCAUGCCUUGAAAAUGUACUUACAUUCUAGAAAUUUAACUAUCCAUAAGGAGCAAGCUGCUUGCAGAGAGCAUCCAACCUGCUAGGCUUUACUGCUCCUUAGGUGUCCUCCCAGCUGGAGAGAUCUGGUCUGGUCUAGGGUUGUCUCUCCCUCCCCAGAAAGAAGAAAUACAGCAAACCCCAUCUCCUUUCCUAAGCACCUGAAUGACCUCUGGAUUACGGGGCCUUUAAGGGAACAAUUCUUCUUGUGAACAGACAACAUCUGCCCUAAAACUCAUUGUUGCCUGAAAAAUCACAGGGGCACAAAGAAGGCCAGUUCUAAAGAGCAAAGCUUUGGGUUCAGGCAAAGCUGAGUACAAACCUCUGCCAGUCCAGUCCAUUUGUGUGUCUGCUCUGAACUCAUUUCUUUCUUUAUAAAACAAACAAAUGUGGGGUGACUGGGUGGCUCAGUUGGUUAAGCAUCAGACUCUUGGUUUCUGCUCAGGUUGUGAUCUCACGGCUCUGGGAUCCAGCCUGGC